GGAGUCGCUGUUGUUGUAACUGACCUAUACCUUGCCUGUGCUCCAUGUAUGUCCCUCCCAAAGCUGCGCGCUCAGUCAAAGAGGAUGACCUUUCUUGAAUAGAGGAGGCCCCGUCUUCGGAGU
rnacentral:snRNA from 1 species